GCGGACGUGGUGGAAUGGUAGACACUAGGGACUUAAAAUCCCUUGGGAGUAAUCCCGUCCGGGUUCGAGUCCCGGCGUCCGCACCA
rnacentral:tRNA from 1 species